rnacentral:lncRNA from 1 species
GGUGGUAGGAGUCAGGCGCAGAGAGCAGAGGUAAGGAACUUUGUGUUUAUUCCAACAAAACACAACACGAUCGACGCCAACACAACCGGCGUGAAAAAUGCAAAGUGCCCAGAACCACAGGUACACAGCAUGCAUAAACAAAUAACAAUUGUCGAUCGCCAGCACAUCCAAAUACAAAACACAACCUGACGCUAAAUAAUCCCGCACAAACCUGGGCGGGCUAAACAGGCUUAAAUAACCAAAAAUCAAAAGAACCAAAUGAGGAACAGGUGCAAACAAUAAGACAUACCAAACGAAAAGGAAAAAGGGAUCAGCGGCGGCUAGUAGGCCGGUGACGACGACCGCCGAGCGCCGCCUGAGCAGGCAGGGGAGCCACCUUCGGUGGGAUUCGUGACACAGUAUCACCCCGUCAAGGUAAAGAUAGUAUUCUUUCUAACAAAGAUAUCACUAUAUUUUUCAGGAUGUUGUAUAUCCUUGGAAAUAAUCAUAAUCCAUGUCAAUAUUACAGUUUUGAAAACAUAGCUUGUAUAAAAAAAAGUGUUAUUUUGGCACAACUUACCCUGGGUAUGUAUGGUGUAAAUUGAUCUGCAGGAAGUGGUAAGUUAAGCUGCCUAUAAAAAUCUGUACUGAAUAAAAUAUUACCACGACCCUUUUAAAACCAUGUCUAUCUUUAUUUCCCAAACACUUAGCAACAGAAUUACAAUCACUUUUUUCUCUUUUAAUAAUUUAAGCAUAUUUUAACACAGGCUAAAUGCCUAACAAACACUUCUGUACUUUUUUAAACACUUUUAACAUAGGCAAGGCCCUGUUGUUACCUCACAUCCCAGUGAUAAUGCCUUGCAUUACGCAUGAGAAGAAAACACUUCAAUUUGCUCAACUUUCCAUUGGCUCCACUUACCCCAAGACAAACAUUGACUAUAUUAGCCCACACAACUAAAAUGAUGCACUUUCAUGCUAGAUUUAGGACCUCAUGUUGAAGCUUAUAGAGACCACAACUGAUGUAUAGAACAAUCUGAAAAUGAUCUACUUUGGUUUAGAUACAAGCAUCAUGAAACCUCUAACACAAUAAAUUCAUUUGACUUGGUGAAAAUCUGUUUUUUGGACCUAACUUGCUUUUCCAUGUGGUUCCUUCCUUCAUGUACACCAUACAAUUAUGACUUCUUUCUAAAUAUUGGGUCAAAUUAUUAAUUUUGUGUAUGGUAUCCUAGAAACAAGGGUGGCUCAAUUUACCCCUUUGGCUCAAAUUACCACACUCUCCCCUCUACCUUGCAUGUAAGUCUCUAGAACAAUUCCUUCCCUUCUUCCUUGAAGAAAUCACUAUACACUGCGUGCACAAUUAUCAGGCAAGUGAGUAUUCUGAUCUUAUCAUUAUUUCUAUUCACAUUUUCGAACUCCAAACCAUAUAAACUUGAAUGCUUAUUGGAUUUAAUCAUUUUCAGGUGAUAUGUAUUUGUGUAAUGAGGGAGGGUGUGGCGAAAGGAAUAACACCACAUCAAGGUGUGCAUAAUUAUUAGGCAGCCUCAUUACCUCAGGUAAAAUGGGCCAAAAAAAGAGAUUUAACUGACACUGAAAAGCCAAAAAUUUAAAAUGCCUUUCAGACGGAUGCGACACUCUUUAAAUAGCUAAACUAUUGUGGCAUGACCACCGGACAAUCAAACGUUUUGUUGCGAAUAGUCAACUGGGGUGCAAAAAACGCAUGGGGAAGAAAAGGCGCAAAUUAACUGCAAAAGACUUGAGAAGAAUUAAACGUCAAACUACCAGGAACCCAUUAUCCUCCAGUGCCACCGUAUUCCAGAUCUGCAACCUACCUGGAGUGUUCAAAAGUACAAUGUGACAAGUGCUCAGAGACAUGGCCAAGGUCAAAAAGACUGAAACAAGACCACCACUGAAUAAGAUUCACAAGUUGAAGCAUCAAGAUUGGGCAAAGAAAUACCUGAAGACAGAUUUUUCAAAGGUUUUAUGGACAGAUGAAAUGAAAGUGACUCUUGAUGGACCAAAUGGAUGGGCCCGUGGCUGGAUCAGUAAUGGACACCGGGCACCACUUUGAGUCAGGUGCCAGCAAGGUGAAGGAGGGGUACUGGUAUGGGCUGCUAUCAUUGAGGAUGAGGUAGUUGGACCUUUUCGGGUUGAAGAUGGACUGAAACUCAACUCCCAAACCUACUGCCAGUUUCUGGAAGAUUCUUUCAUCAAACAGUGGUACAGGAAGAAGUUCUAGAAGGCCAUGAUCUUUAUGCAGGACAAUGCUCCAUCACAUGCAUCCAAGUACUCCACUGCUUGGCUAGCCAGCAAGGGCCUCAAAGAUGCCUGAAUAACGACCUGGCCCCCUUCCUCACCUGACUUAAAUCCUAUUGAGAACUUGUGGGCCCUUCUCAAACGUGAGAUUUACACUGAGGGAAGACAAUAAACCUCUUUGAACAGCAUUUGGGAGGCUGUGGUUGCUGCUUCUGCGAAAAUUGAUCGUGAACAUGGAUGGAAGGCUCAUGGCAGUUCUUGAAAAUAAGGGUGGCUAUAUUGGUCACUGAAUAUUUUUGAAAGGCCAAAAAUUUUAUAUAAUUGUAAUUUUGUGUUACUUAUCUGUUACACUUACUCUAAAAAUUGAGAAUCAACAAGUGAGUUGAGAGAAAUUAUUUUUGUAAUUUAGUUGCC